rnacentral:rRNA from 1 species
UACGUAGGGUGCAAGCGUUAAUCGGAAUUACUGGGCGUAAAGCGUACGCAGGCGGCUUUGCAAGACAGGUGUGAAAUCCCCGGGCCUAACCUGGGAACUGCAUUUGUGACUGCAUGGCUAGAGUCUGUCAGAGGGGGGUGGAAUUCCACGUGUAGCAGUGAAAUGCGUAGAGAUGUGGAAGAACACCGGUGGCGAAGGCGGCCUUCUGGACAGUGACUGACGCUGAGACGCGAAAGCGUGGGGAGCAAACAGG